AAUGAUAUGCGUUAUCAUAUAGUACCAUAAUUAAAAUGCAAAUAAAACACGUAAGUUAAUUUGUAUUCAAUAUAAAUAGGGGGAAGGGAAUAUAAAACAAAACGUAUAAACGUAGUUGAAAGUUUUAACUAAAUAAACAUAUUGUGAGACGCGCUGCCGUCUUUUUUUUUAAAUUUCAUUAGACUAUCAGUUGAUUUUAAUAUGAAAAUAUUUAACCAAUAAAUUAAUAUACGUGAUUUUGUGCCGUCUAUUUCAAUUCUAUUAAGUCUCGUUAGUCGAGACCUCUAAAAGCAGAUAGGCCGCGGUAGCUAACGUCACGACGUGCGACAGCGGCAAAUACUAUUAGACAUGAUAAUAUAACAAUACAAUUUCUGUCUCGUAAAAGCGG